CCCGGGCCAGGGAUCAAGCCUGGGCCCCCUGCAUUGGGAGUGUGGAGUCUUAACCAUUGCACCACCAGGGAAGUCCCUGUCCUUCCGUGUUCUUCACUAUUUAAUCUGACUUUAUUGCUAAACACUGGUCUUCACAAGCAGAGGAAAUGUGUCUUGCAUUCAAAGGUGUUUUUAUAAGCACCCAGCCCAAACCAGGGAGUGUAGGAGGCACUUAAAUAAAUACUGGUUGGCAAAGCGCUGUCACCCACAGAUCAGUCAACAGCCCAGUCAUUCCUUGUUCCCUGAGCCAUUCAGCCACAGGGCGUGAUAGGAAGAACUUGACUUCACAAGUCAGACAAACCCAGGUUUCACCAACCCUGGGUGCCCUCCUCGUGAUCUCAGGAACGAGGCAGCUUCCAUUCCUUACGCAUCUACCAUGUGAUGUGUUGGAUGCUCUGCAAACCACGUGUCUAUGCGUCUCAUGGGACCAAGCGAGGACUGUCUUCCCCAUUUUACAGAUGAAAAAAGGGAAGUUUAAAAGAAGGUAGAACCCUCGUGCAAAAUCGACGGCUCAGGAGGCAGAACGGUCAGAAUUCGAAUGCUGAGGAUUGCCCAUAGUCUAACCAUUGCACAAACCCACAAUCUGAGAAGGACGUUUCCCUGGGACACUGUCACAUAUGCUCAGAAUCUCUUUUGGUUAAAAAUGAACUCGGAACCCCA